rnacentral:rRNA from 1 species
GGGAUGACACAGUAGGAUAAGCUAAGCACACUGUUGGUUAUGUGUGCCCAAGCAUUGAGGCAGUCAAAGUAGGCAAAUCCGCGUUGAUAAUGCUGGGAUGUGAUGGGGAGCGAAAUUUAGUAGCGAAGUAGCUGAUUUCACACUGUCAAGAAAAGUCUCUAUCGAGGUUAAAGGUACCCGUACCGCAAACCGACACAGGUGGGUGAGGAGAGUAUCCUAAGGCCAGCGAGAGAACU